GGCGGCUUGAGCCUGUGGUAUCUAGGCUCACCUCACUGCGGUUGGUGGAGGUGAUGGAGGUUGCAGCUUGGCCAGCAUGGUAGAAAGGUGGCAGGGCACGUCUGGCUUUUACCACCCAGUUGCUUCGAGCCAGGAGAUGGAGGAGUCAUCUGUUGCACGCUGGAGGCUGGAGCCUGCAGAUGGCAUGGUUCUGUGGCUCACCUCGCUGCAGUUGGUGGCAGAGACAGAGACUGCAGCUUGACCAGAGUGGUGGAGUGGUAGGAGAGUGUCUGCGGGGGCCUCCUGGAGGUGAUAUGUAUCUCAAGAGCACUCCACAACAAAGAUUCUGCCUGCAAUCCUCCACUUCAAGUGAUUCCCUAAGGUCCACAAAGAACGCAAGAGGCAGCAAUGAAAGCUGUGCUAAGUGACAAUGUGGCCAAGACAUAAGCAGAGUAGAUGCUCAUAGAAGGCACCAAUUCAAGAGGAAGCCCGCUGCUCAUAGUGAUACUUCCCUGCCCACGUUUCUGUACACUUGGGCAGUGCAGCACCUCUUCUAUAGUGUCUCUUAUUUUUCACUUCUUGACACACGGUCGCAUUGUUGUUGUUGUUGUUUUGACAACAGGUUUAGCCUUGGGACUUGCUUCUAAAUGUAAGCAGCAGUGAUUUGUGAAGUGUGACAAACUGGGACUCAAUUCUCCAUGUUGUCUUGUUAGUUAUGACCUUGAAAGCUUUUUUCCACAUGGAUCUUCAAAUAGAUACAGUGAGUAAAGUCUUCUAGUAACUUGCAUGGCCAUGUAAAAGAAAUAACCUUUCACUGGAUUAAACCAGUGAUAAUAUGUGAAAGCUAUAAGAAGUAUCCUAGGUGAAAAGUGUAUAUUCACGUCAGACAUGAGAUAAAUGCUCAAUAAAUGUGUUUUCUCACUCAUAAUCCAAGCAACAUAUUUCAUUUCAAAGCAAGAGAGGACUUUAGACAGCAAUUCUAGCUCUUAAACUUUAGUUUCCUAUAUAAAAUGGGAAAGAUCAAUUUUUAAAAUUCUAUUUUUAAUAACUUUCAGGAAUAUCAAUAUUUUGUGAACAUUCUGUUCUAAUGUUAAAACACUGACAGAAACUAUGAUGCUUAGCUUCAGUUCCAUUUGAUUUUAUUUAAGCUGCCGCAUUUCAAAAAGCAAAACUUGAAUUUUCCAUGCACUGAAUUCUGUUGAAUCCAUGAUAAUUAAAUGACGUGUAGGCUCCGUAUUUAGGCAUUAUAAGUAAUCUAGAGAUAAUUUAAAGUAUACGGGAGCAUACUCAUAGGUUAUAUGCAAAUAUUGCAGCAUUUUAUAUAAGAUGUUUGGACAUUUGCCAGUCUUGUUAUCUGAUGAGGGUCCUGGAAUCAAUCACCCAUGAACACUGAAGGUCAGCUGUAGUUUUUUUUCCUAUAACACACACACACACACACACACACACACACACACACACACACACACACACACACCCACACACCAUAGUUAAGGCAUGCUCAUCCUUAAAACUUCAGUUCAAACAUUAAAUUUUUUCUUAUUCAGAUCACCAUCGUGUCUCAAUUUAGACAGCCUCUCUCUACUGUCCAUAAUGACCUGUCAUGUAUUUUCUAGUAUUUGUCACGUAUCAUAGUACUCAUUGCUUUUAUUUUUCUUUUUUUUAGAACGAGGCUGUUUGCUCCUCUGAGCAGCCUCAAUGACUCAUUCAUUACUGUAUUCCCAUUGCCUAACACAUAUCUGACAAAUACUAAAAGCACAAUAGAUGCCAGUUAAAUGAAUGGUAAAUAUAAAUUAAUAUAAAUAAAUAAAUUUUUCUUAAAUUAUCUGUUGCUUCUCAAGUUUCCUUUUCAGAUUAUCAAUUUAUUUAACAAAUAUUUCUUGAAUGUUUACUAUCUAUAAAACGUGGAGCAAGAGAAUGUAAAACAUUUUUUUGGAAU
rnacentral:lncRNA from 10 species